GUUAGCUCAGUUGGUAGAGCAGUUGACUUUUAAUCAAUUGGUCGCAGGUUCGAAUCCCGCACGACCCACCA
rnacentral:tRNA from 1 species